CUACGGGGGGCUGCAGUGAGGAAUUUUGCGCAAUGGGCGAAAGCCUGACGCAGCAACGCCGCGUGAGUGAUGAAGGCCUUCGGGUCGUAAAGCUCUUUCAAGUGGGAAGAACCUAUGUAAUGUUAAUAUCAUUAUAUACUGACGGUACCACUGAAGGAAGCACCGGCUAACUCCGUGCCAGCAGCCGCGGUAAUACGGGGGGUGCAAGCGUUAUUCGGAAUCAUUGGGCGUAAAGGGCACGUAGGCGGCCUGGUAAGUCAGAUGUGAAAGCCCGGGGCUUAACCCCGGAAGUGCAUUUGAUACUGUCAGGCUUGAGGAUGGGAGAGGGAAGUGGAAUUCCUGGUGUAGAGGUGAAAUUCGUAGAUAUCAGGAGGAACACCGGUGGCGAAGGCGACUUCCUGGACCAAUACUGACGCUGAGGUGCGAACGCGUGGGUAGCAAACAGGAUUAGAUACCCCCGUAGUC
rnacentral:rRNA from 1 species